rnacentral:rRNA from 1 species
CUACACAUGCAGUCGAGCGGUAACACAGAGAGCUUGCUCUCGGGUGACGAGCGGCGGACGGGUGAGUAAUGUCUGGGAAACUGCCUGAUGGAGGGGGAUAACUACUGGAAACGGUAGCUAAUACCGCAUAACGUCGCAAGACCAAAGUGGGGGACCUUCGGGCCUCAUGCCAUCAGAUGUGCCCAGAUGGGAUUAGCUAGUAGGUGGGGUAAUGGCUCACCUAGGCGACGAUCCCUAGCUGGUCUGAGAGGAUGACCAGCCACACUGGAACUGAGACACGGUCCAGACUCCUACGGGAGGCAGCAGUGGGGAAUAUUGCACAAUGGGCGCAAGCCUGAUGCAGCCAUGCCGCGUGUAUGAAGAAGGCCUUCGGGUUGUAAAGUACUUUCAGCGAGGAGGAAGGCGUUAAGGUUAAUAACCUUGGCGAUUGACGUUACUCGCAGAAGAAGCACCGGCUAACUCCGUGCCAGCAGCCGCGGUAAUACGGAGGGUGCAAGCGUUAAUCGGAAUUACUGGGCGUAAAGCGCACGCAGGCGGUCUGUCAAGUCGGAUGUGAAAUCCCCGGGCUCAACCUGGGAACUGCAUUCGAAACUGGCAGGCUAGAGUCUUGUAGAGGGGGGUAGAAUUCCAGGUGUAGCGGUGAAAUGCGUAGAGAUCUGGAGGAAUACCGGUGGCGAAGGCGGCCCCCUGGACAAAGACUGACGCUCAGGUGCGAAAGCGUGGGGAGCAAACAGGAUUAGAUACCCUGGUAGUCCACGCCGUAAACGAUGUCGACUUGGAGGUUGUGCCCUUGAGGCGUGGCUUCCGGAGCUAACGCGUUAAGUCGACCGCCUGGGGGAGUACGGCCGCAAGGUUAAAACUCAAAUGAAUUGACGGGGGCCCGCACAAGCGGUGGAGCAUGUGGUUUAAUUCGAUGCAACGCGAAGAACCUUACCUACUCUUGACAUCCAGAGAACUUAGCAGAGAUGCUUUGGUGCCUUCGGGAACUCUGAGACAGGUGCUGCAUGGCUGUCGUCAGCUCGUGUUGUGAAAUGGUUGGGUUAAGUCCCGCAACGAGCGCAACCCUUAUCCUUUGUUGCCAGCGGUUAGGCCGGGAACUCAAAGG